GACGAACGCUGGCGGUAUGCUUAACACAUGCAAGUCGAACGAGAAGUCUUUUAUUGAACCUUCGGGGGAUAUAAGAGACAGACAGUGGCGAACGGGUGAGUAACGCGUGGGCAACCUACCUAUCGGAGCGGGAUAGCCUAGAGAAAUCGGGAGUAAAACCGCAUAACACGGAUAUAUCGCAUGAUGAAUCCGUCAAAACUCCGGUGCCGAUAGAUGGGCCCGCGUCUGAUUAGCUAGUUGGUAAGGUAAGGGCUUACCAAGGCAACGAUCAGUAGCCGGUCUGAGAGGGCGAACGGCCACACUGGAACUGAGACACGGUCCAGACUCCUACGGGAGGCAGCAGUGGGGAAUAUUGCGCAAUGGGGGCAAACCCUGACGCAGCAA
rnacentral:rRNA from 1 species